rnacentral:ncRNA from 1 species
UUAUCCUCGCCCAACUCUGGCCCGAGAGUUUGCGGGCCCAGUUAACCCGCGAGCGAAUACGUGCAAGGAGGAAGUCUGACUGGGAGACACCCCCCGAUAAGCACAAAAUCCGAUUAAUCGGUACGGACACGGCAUCCGUCACAAAAAAAAACCGUACCGUUACAAUUAAGGUCGGAUCGCGGCAGGUUAAAACCCCGCCCCGAUCACCGACGCUAACGGGAAAACAGUCGUUGUGGGUACUGGAAGAACCGGUCUUCGAAAUCCCAUUCCGCGGGCGUGAAGAGAGCCCCGUCGGAAACUCGCCCCUGACAAGCGCCUGGGCGAGGCCGACGCUUCACGAGCAUUGUCACCCGAGCCCGGUCGGUGGGCGCGUACGCCAUCGCGCGUCCGCGCGUGCCCUCCGCACUCGAGUGACUGAUGUGGAUGGCCUCGCGGAGACUGUGGGAGUAGCGCCUUAGUGAGAAGGGAGGGAAUUGUCCGGCGCUCGCAACCCGGCGCUCGCCGGCGCAGUACUCGAAACCCACCGAUCAGCCUCCUGACAGAGCGCUGCCAGCGAAACACUGUCUGGCGCCCAGGCGCCCAGUGUACUCGUCUGGGAGGGACGACUGCGCCACUCAAAGGCGAGAAGCAGCCAGUCCCGCUUAUCUGGAAAAAGGGGGUCACCCCACCGGGACGUUCGGCCUUAUACCUCCCGUCACAAAGGUUAUGAAUGUCCCUAUCUACUAUCUAGCGAAACCACAGCCAAGGGAACGGGCUUGGAAAAAUCAGCGGGGAAAGAAGACCCUGUUGAGCUUGACUCUAAUCUGGCAUUGUUCGGAGACAUGCCGAGGUGUAGCAUACGUGGGAGACCCGGACCAAGGCGGGCGGUUUCGGCCGUUCGUCUCCGGGCCGACCUUGAAAUACCACUACUCGCAUCGUUUCCCCACUUACUCGGUAGAGCGGAACGCGCGGUUCCGGCCGCGGGCGCGUCCGGCCGGCGGUCGUCGUCCCGUCGCGUCGUCGGUUUGCCGUCGGUUCGCCGGCGCGCUACUGGCGCGCGGCGUGGUCGCCGUGCCGUCGGCCUGUGCCCGUUCGUGCCGGGCCGCGGUUGAUAUUCCGGUAGCGUUAAGCACCAGCCGAGGGAUCCGGGCGUCAAACCGCGGACCGCGUCCGUCCGCGUACGGCCGACCGUCAAAAGUCGCCGUCCGCGUUCGCGGCGUAUCCGCGGGCCCGGUCCCUGGUGCGAUCCGUAUUCCGAGGACACCGCCAGGUGGGGAGUUUGACUGGGGCGGUACAUCUGUCAAAAAAUAACGCAGGUGUCCUAAGGCCAGCUCAGCGAGGACGGAAACCUCGCGUAGAGCAAAAGGGCAAAUGCUGGCUUGAUCCCGGACGCUCAGUACGCGUAGGGACUGCGAAAGCAUCGGCCUCUCGAUCCUCUCGUCCGCUGAAGAGUUUUCAGCGAGAGGUGUCAGAAAAGUUACCACAGGGAUAACUGGGCUUGUGGCGGCCAAGCGUUCAUAAGCGACGUCGCUUUUUG